rnacentral:rRNA from 1 species
AUUGAACGCUGGCGGCAUGCCUUACACAUGCAAGUCGAACGGUAACGCGGGGCAACCUGGCGACGAGUGGCGAACGGGUGAGUAAUGCAUCGGAACGUGCCCAGUAGUGGGGGAUAGCCCGGCGAAAGCCGGAUUAAUACCGCAUACGACCUACGGGUGAAAGCGGGGGACCGUAUGGCCUCGCGCUAUUGGAGCGGCCGCUGUCAGAUUCGGUUGUUGGUGGGGUAAAGGCCUACCAAGCCGACGAUCUGUAGCUGGUCUGAGAGGACGACCAGCCACACUGGGACUGAGACACGGCCCAGACUCCUACGGGAGGCAGCAGUGGGGAAUUUUGGACAAUGGGGGCAACCCUGAUCCAGCCAUGCCGCGUGCGGGAAGAAGGCCUUCGGGUUGUAAACCGCUUUUGUCAGGGAAGAAACGCUCUGGGCUAAUACCCUGGGGUAAUGACGGUACCUGAAGAAUAAGCACCGGCUAACUACGUGCCAGCAGCCGCGGUAA